CCUACGGGUGGCAGCAGUGGGGAAUAUUGCGCAAUGGGCGAAAGCCUGACGCAGCGACGCCGCGUGAGGGAUGAAGGUCUUCGGAUCGUAAACCUCUGUCAGCAGGGAAGAACGGUCACUGUGCUAAUCAGCAGUGAAUUGACGGUACCUGCAAAGGAAGCACCGGCUAACUCCGUGCCAGCAGCCGCGGUAAUACGGAGGGUGCGAGCGUUAAUCGGAAUUACUGGGCGUAAAGCGCUCGUAGGCGGUAUGUCAAGUCAAGGGUGAAAUCCCCGCGCUCAACGUGGGAACUGCCUUUGAAACUGGCAAACUGGAGUGUGUGAGAGGAUAGUGGAAUUCCAGGUGUAGGAGUGAAAUGCGUAGAGAUCUGGAGGAACAUCAGUGGCGAAGGCGACUAUCUGGCACAUAACUGACGCUGAGGAGCGAAAGCGUGGGUAGCAAACAGGAUUAGAUACCCGAGUAGUC
rnacentral:rRNA from 1 species